rnacentral:rRNA from 1 species
GGUCAAGCGAAUAAGCGCACACGGUGGAUGCCUAGGCGGUCAGAGGCGAUGAAGGACGUGGUAGCCUGCGAAAAGUGUCGGGGAGCUGGCAACAAGCUUUGAUCCGGCAAUGUCCGAAUGGGGAAACCCACUGCUUCGGCAGUAUCCUGCAGUGAAUUCAUAGCUGCUGGAAGCGAACCCGGUGAACUGAAAUAUCUAAGUAACCGGAGGAAAAGAAAUCAACCGAGAUUCCCUAAGUAGUGACGAGCGAACGGGGAGCAGCCCUUAAGCUGGAAUGGCUUUAGAAAAACAAUCUGGAAAGAUUGGCCAUAGAAGGUGAUAGCCCUGUAUUUAAAAGGGCCACUCCAGUGAAGACGAGUAGGGCGGGGCACGUGAAACCCUGUCUGAAUAUGGGGGGACCAUCCUCCAAGGCUAAAUACUCCUGACCGACCGAUAGUGAACCAGUACCGUGAGGGAAAGGCGAAAAGAACCCCGGAGAGGGGAGUGAAAUAGAUCCUGAAACCGUGUGCGUACAAGCAGUAGGAGCUCGCAAGAGUGACUGCGUACCUUUUGUAUAAUGGGUCAGCGACUUACUGUUCGUGGCAAGCUUAACCGUAUAGGGGAGGCGAAGGGAAACCGAGUCUGAUAAGGGCGCAUAGUCGCGGGCAGUAGACCCGAAACCGGGUGAUCUAGUCAUGGCCAGGGUGAAGGUGCCGUAACAGGUACUGGAGGCCCGAACCCACGUCUGUUGCAAAAGACGGGGAUGAGCUGUGAUUAGGAGUGAAAAGCUAAUCGAACCCGGAGAUAGCUGGUUCUCCUCGAAAGCUAUUUAGGUAGCGCCUCGGACGAAUACUACUGGGGGUAGAGCACUGUUAUGGCUAGGGGGUCAUCGCGACUUACCAAACCAUUGCAAACUCCGAAUACCAGUACGUACUAUCCGGGAGACACACGGCGGGUGCUAACGUCCGUCGUGAAAAGGGAAACAACCCAGACCCACAGCUAAGGUCCCAAAUUUACUGCUAAGUGGAAAACGAUGUGGAAAGGCAUAGACAGCCAGGAGGUUGGCUUAGAAGCAGCCACCCUUUAAAGAAAGCGUAAUAGCUCACUGGUCGAGUCGGUCUGCGCGGAAGAUUUAACGGGGCUAAGCAGUGAACCGAAGCUUGGGGUGCAUAAAACUUGUUUUAUGCGCGGUAGAGGAGCGUUCCGUAAGCCUGCGAAGGUGGAUUGAGAAGUCUGCUGGAGGUAUCGGAAGUGCGAAUGCUGACAUGAGUAACGAUAAUGCGGGUGAAAAGCCCGCACGCCGAAAGCCCAAGGUUUCCUUGCGCAACGUUAAUCGACGCAGGGUUAGUCGGUCCCUAAGGCGAGGGCGAAAGCCGUAGUCGAUGGGAAGCAGGUUAAUAUUCCUGCACCUCGCGUGAGUGCGAUGGAGGGACGGAGAAGGUUAGGUGUACCGGGCGUUGGUUGUCCCGGGGAAAGGCGGUAGGUUUGGAUCUUUGGCAAAUCCGGGAUCCUUUAAGACCGAGCACCGAGACGAGCCUUUAUGGCAAAGUCACUGAUACCACGCUUCCAGGAAAAGCUCCUAAGCUUCAGCUCACGAAGACCGUACCGUAAACCGACACAGGUGGGUAGGAUGAGAAUUCUCAGGCGCUUGAGAGAACUCGGGUGAAGGAACUAGGCAACAUGGCACCGUAACUUCGGGAGAAGGUGCACCCUUUUUGGUGGCUCAUGCGAGCUAUAGCUGAAGAGGGUCGCAGAAACCAGGCCGCUGCGACUGUUUAUCAAAAACACAGCACUCUGCAAACACGAAAGUGGACGUAUAGGGUGUGACGCCUGCCCGGUGCUGGAAGGUUAAUUGAUGGGGUCAGCCGCAAGGCGAAGCUCUUGAUCGAAGCCCCAGUAAACGGCGGCCGUAACUAUAACGGUCCUAAGGUAGCGAAAUUCCUUGUCGGGUAAGUUCCGACCUGCACGAAUGGCGUAACGACAGCGGCGCUGUCUCCACCCGAGACUCAGUGAAAUUGAAAUCGCUGUGAAGAUGCAGCGUUCCCGUGGCAAGACGGAAAGACCCCGUGAACCUUUACUAUAGCUUUACACUGAACGUUGAGUUCGUCUGUGUAGGAUAGGUGGGAGGCUAUGAAACUGUGGCGCUAGCUGCAGUGGAGCCAUCCUUGAAAUACCACCCUGUCGUGCUUGACGUUCUAACCUAGAUCCGUUAUCCGGAUCAGGGACCGUGUAUGGUGGGUAGUUUGACUGGGGCGGUCUCCUCCUAAAGAGUAACGGAGGAGCACGAAGGUACGCUCAGCGCGGUCGGACAUCGCGCACUGUGUGCAAAGGCAUAAGCGUGCUUGACUGCAAGAUCGACGGAUCAAGCAGGUACGAAAGUAGGUCUUAGUGAUCCGGUGGUUCUGUAUGGAAGGGCCAUCGCUCAACGGAUAAAAGGUACUCCGGGGAUAACAGGCUGAUACCGCCCAAGAGUUCAUAUCGACGGCGGUGUUUGGCACCUCGAUGUCGGCUCAUCACAUCCUGGGGCUGUAGUCGGUCCCAAGGGUAUGGCUGUUCGCCAUUUAAAGUGGUACGCGAGCUGGGUUCAGAACGUCGUGAGACAGUUCGGUCCCUAUCUGCCAUGGGCGUUGGAAGUUUGAGAGGGGCUGCUCCUAGUACGAGAGGACCGGAGUGGACGAACCUCUGGUGUUCCGGUUGUCACGCCAGUGGCAUUGCCGGGUAGCUAUGUUCGGAAGCGAUAACCGCUGAAAGCAUCUAAGCGGGAAGCGCGCCUCAAGAUGAGACUUCCCGGGGCACAAGCCCCCUAAAGGAACCAUAUAGACUAUGUGGUUGAUAGGUCAGGUGUGUAAGUACAGCAAUGUAUUGAGCUAACUGAUACUAAUGAUCCGUGCGGCUUGACCAU